UCCCAGCGUCAACAUCUCGCACGCCAACCAGGAUUCUUAAAGCCAACCUUCUCAAGGAACAGUUUCUCUCUUUUACAUGAGAGCGCCAAAUAUUUUAUUUCCCAACUCGAGUGGGGAAGGAUUUUUAUCGCCUCGUCUUCUUUCUGUUUGAUUUUUUGGCGAACUUUUCCUGCUGCACUAACUGGAAUUUGACUUCUGAUUAUUAGGAGGAAGAAUUUGUUGGAGGAAUAAACUUAAAAACUUCAUCGUUUCUUUCGCUUUUUUUUGUUUCGUUCUUCGCCAAAGUGGUGGAAUUUCUCGUAAAUAUUAAUGUGCGGUAGCUGAGUGAUAUUGCUUUUUUUGUUUCUUUAAAGCACAAUGGUACUUUUGCUGCCGAGUGUGACUGGAUUAUUUUUCUUUGCGUUUUGUGGUUUUACGACAAUGGCUAUGGAUUCUAAUAACGGUGUCCCCGUUCAUUAUGCUGUCGCUGGAGAAAAGGCGGCAAUUCCUUGUAACAUCUCGACGCCGCUGUCAGAUGACCAAGUUUCCCUAAUUUUGUGGUACCGGGUGGACAUGCCAAAUCCUAUUUACACACUGGACAUCCGCAAACGGACGAUCAAAGAAGCCAAACAUUUUCCCAGUCCGGAAAUAAAAGACAGAUCUUACUUCAACAUGGAUAUACAUCCACCGACGCUUAUUCUGGAGCCAGCAAGAGUGGAAGACGAGGCUGAUUACAAAUGUCGAGUGGAUUUAAGAAGGUCGAGGACGCUUAUUUUGCAUACACGUCUUCAUAUCAUAGUUCCCCCUGGGGAUCCAUUUAUCAUGGAUGAACAUGGUCAGCGGUUAAGGGAUAUAAUUGGGCCUUAUGAUGAAGGCGCAUUUCUCACUCUAGCGUGUGAAGUGGAUGGAGGAGAUCCUUCCCCAGAAGUCACGUGGUGGAGAGGUACAACCUUGCUAGACGACAGCUUCAAUGUCACGCCACAAGGAUUUGUGCGAAAUGAACUUUUUCUUUUCGAGCUAAGAAGAUCGGAUUUACUUGCCGAAUUCACGUGCCAAGCAACAAACACUAAUCUUACAAGACCAAGAACAUCAGCAGUUCGCUUGGAUCUAAACUUGAGGCCACUAGAAGUGAAGAUAGCUGCACCCCAUUACCCUCUGAAUGCUGGGAGUCGCAAACAAAUCAUCUGCGAGACCACGGGGUCACGCCCCCGAGCCAUCCUGUCAUGGUGGUUGGAUGGCAAAAAAAUCGGGGCAGGUACAACUGACACAGUGUCCGACGGGGGCAACCUGACUGUCAGCACUCUUCACCUAGUUCCUACCCCUAACGACGAUGGAAAGAUGCUGUCCUGCAGAGCCGAAAAUCCAGCUGUUCCGAAUUCGGCCAUUGAAGACGAGUGGACUAUUCGGGUGCAUUAUGCACCAAUCAUAAGCUUAGCCUUGGGAGCAUCGAUAAGUCCAUCCAACAUCAAAGAAGGAAGUGAUGUAUAUUUGGAAUGCAACAUACGCGCAAAUCCGUGGGUGAGUGAUGUCACAUGGCAAUUCGAAGACCACUAUGUCGUCAGCAAUAAGUCGGCUGGAAUCAUCAUUAGCAAUCAGACAUUAGUGCUUCAAAGCGUGAGGCGGGAACAUCGUGGAAGAUAUCGAUGUCUCGCUGGAAAUUCGGAAGGGCAGAGCGUCAGUGAUUAUCUACAUUUAUUAGUACAAUAUGCACCAGUAUGUAAACUGUCUGAUCCUAAAGUGUAUGGUGUGGCACGCACAGAAGUGGUCAACGUGACUUGCGAAGUAGAAGCCGAUCCGCCGGACGUGAAUUUUCGAUGGGCACUCAACAAUACCCUCGAGGUGGUCAACCUCCAAAAGUGGUGGAGUGAAGGGUCGAGAAGUGUACUCAGUUACACACCUCGGACACUGGCCGGAUACGGACUCUUGCUGUGCUGGGGAAAUAAUGUGAUUGGCGGACAAAGGGAACCAUGUGUAGCCAAAAUUAUACCAGCAGGUGCUCCUGAAUCUCCAAGAGAUUGUGCAGUCACGAACCAGUCAUCCCACUCACUGUCUGUUGAAUGCGAACCAGGAUAUGAUGGCGGACUGAGCCAGACAUUUCACUUAGAAUUAUACAACUCUGUGGUCGAGCACUUGGCAGCCAAUCUGACAAGAACUGAUGCACCAGCAUUCAAAGUCCAUGCUCUACCUCCAGGUACAGCAUUUGUUCUGGUUUUGUAUGCAUCGAAUGGGAAAGGAAAAAGCAACUCAGUGGCACUCAUGGCUUCGACAUUGCCUCCACCUGAAAGACGAACAGCAGAGGAAGACGUGGCAACUGUUAGUCCGAUACUUGGCAUUCUCAUUGGCGUAGUUGCUGUCUUAGUGGUGGUUGCCAUAAUUAUUAUCAUCAUCGUCAGAAUUCAAAGCUCAAAGAGACUUUCUAAAGACUCAGCAGUCCAAGAUGAAUCGAUUAGGUGUGAAACUCCCUUGAAGAAAGAAUUAGAAGAUAGCCAAGAAGACAGAAAGGGCCCUGACAUUAUUCCAUUUGCCAAUGAAACGGAAGUUUAUUUUACUGGUAGUGCUAGUGAACAAAUGAGACAGAUUCGCUCAAUACAUAAGCUCGCAGGAUCUCCAACGGAGCUGUGCCAAAGGACUACCGAUACUCGGUUAUAGCAAACGUCAGAGAAUAUUUUAAAUAUCUCUUUUAAAGGCUUCCAGGGAUUUUUCAUUCAUUCAUCAUCCAAUCCAUCCAUAGAUGAAUUGUCGGACACUGUGUGAAUAUUUUGCUGAGGAAAACAUUGAUUUCGUUCAGUGGAUUCACCCAAUCAAAUUCGUGUGAUGCAGAGUGAUUUUAUCUAAAGAAAAGUGUUUUUUAAGAAAGACUCAUCUUGUUGUUAGACUUUUAUGUAACAUAAGAAAAAGGACAAAAGGAUCUUUUUCAUCCGCCAAAGAGUAUGUAUUGCGAAUAAAAAGAUACAAUAAUACUUGGUUUCCUUAUUUCAAGACAUCCAUAACAUCAAUAUAAACAAAGAAAUCAGAAUGCAUCUGAAGUGCUCCAAAAACCACUUCAAGACUUCAAAGACUGUCUUUAUGUCAAUUUCACCAUUCUGCAAGAAUUUAAAAGAUAUCAGAAGAAAAAGUGGUGUAAUAUUUCUCUUCCUCAGUAUUUCCUUUCCAUCCCUUCUUUUUCAACUUUGAAUUUCAGAGAUGUUGUUCAAGCUGUAUCGGAUAAGUGUGUUGGAUAUAAAUUUAUGUGUAUAUCACGGUAUUGUAUAACAAAUGCAUUCAUGAGAUGUGAUCAAAUAGGGAAUCAGAUAGCACAUAGUGAUUUUUAAUUUAUUAUUAAAUAUUUUCUUUGGUUUGGGAUCACAUGAUUUAUAAUUUUUUAUAAGACUAAUUAUUAAAAUUGAAAAUCCAUUUUAACCUCCAAUUUUGGUACUAUGCAGACCAUGUGAAAUAAUCAAUUGCAUGGA